CUUAACUGUAAGCUGUUACUGGUUUUUCGUUUUCGAUGCUCAGCGUAAGUGGGAGACUUUGAAGCCUUUCUUUAGGGGAAGGCCGAGUCGUCAAUGAGACACCACCCUUCGAAUAUGGGAAAUCUAACCCCGAGCCUUAUAUCAGGACGGGGAACACUGGCAGCCGGUCAGUUUUACUGGGGCGGUAUCCUCCCAAAAGGUAACGGAGGAGCGCGAUGGUGGGCUCAGCGUGGUUGGCAAUCACGUGUCGAGUGCAUAGGCAUAAGCCCGCCUAACUGUGAGACUUACAGGUCGAGCAGAUACGAAAGUAGGCCUAAGUGAUCCGGUAGUAGAAUGUGGAAUUGCUAUCGCUCAACGGAUAAAAGGUA
rnacentral:rRNA from 1 species